CAGCCACCCUUGAAAGAGUUCGUAAUAGCUCACUGGUCAAGUGAACCUGCGCCGAAAAUAUAACGGGGCUUAAGUGCUGUACCGAAGCUGCGGAUUGACAAAAUCCUUCGGGAUUUUUCAGUGGUAGGCGAGCAUUCCAUGGGCGGUGAAGGCGGACGGUAACGACCGUUGGAGCGCAUGGAAGAGCUUAUGCAGGCUUGAGUAGCGAUAAAACAGGUGAGAAACCUGUUCGCCGUAAGCCCAAGGGUUCC
rnacentral:rRNA from 1 species